rnacentral:rRNA from 1 species
UACGUAGGCAGCAAGCGUUGUUCGGAAUUACUGGGCGUAAAGAGUGUGUAGGCGGUGCUCCAAGUCUGGUGUGAAAUCUUCAGGCUCAACUUGAAGUCUGCACAAGAAACUGCCGGGCUUGAGUAUGGGAGAGGUGAGUGGAAUUUCCGGUGUAGCGGUGAAAUGCGUAGAUAUCGGAAGGAACACCUGUGGCGAAAGCGGCUCACUGGACCAUUACUGACACUGAGGCACGAAAGCUAGGGGAGCAAACAGG